ACUCCUACGGGAGGCAGCAGUGGGGAAUAUUGGACAAUGGGGCGCAAGCCUGAUCCAGCAAUGCCGCGUGGGUGAAGACGGCCUGCGGGUUGUAAAGCCCUUUAGGCGGGGAGGAACGGUCGGGUGCCAAUACCACCCGGCACUGACGUUACCCGCAGAAUAAGCACCGGCUAACUCCGUGCCAGCAGCCGCGGUAAU
rnacentral:rRNA from 1 species